CCUACGGGUGGCAGCAGUGAGGAAUAUUGGUCAAUGGGCGUAAGCCCGAACCAGCCAAGUCGCGUGAGGGAUGAAGGUUCUAUGGAUCGUAAACCUCUUUUAUAAGGGGAUAAAGUGCGGGACGUGUCCCGUUUUGUAUGUACCUUAUGAAUAAGGAUCGGCUAACUCCGGGCCAGCAGCCGCGGUAAUACGGAGGAUCCGAGCGUGAUCCGGAUUUAGUGGGAUGAAAGGGUACGUAGGCGGUCUUUGAAGUAGGCUGUGAAAGUCUGUGGCUUAACCAUAGUAGUGCCGUUGAAACUGGGAGACUUGAGUGUGUAUGAGGCAGGCGGAAUGCGAGGUGUAGCGGUGAAAUGCUUAGAUAUAACGCAGAACACCAAUUGCGAAGGCAGCCUGC
rnacentral:rRNA from 1 species